rnacentral:rRNA from 1 species
CCUACGGGUGGCAGCAGUGGGGAAUAUUGGGCAAUGGGCGCAAGCCUGACCCAGCAACGCCGCGUGAAGGAAGAAGGCUUUCGGGUUGUAAACUUCUUUUAGCCGGGACGAAGCAAGUGACGGUACCUGAUGAAUAAGCCACGGCUAACUACGUGCCAGCAGCGGCGGUAAUACGUAGGUGGCAAGCGUUAUCCGGAUUUACUGGGUGUAAAGGGUGCGUAGGCUGUGAGGUAAGUCAGCGGGGAAAUGCCCCCGCUCAACGGGGUGAAGUGCCAUUGAUACUGCCUUGCUGGACUGCGGAUGACGUAGGAGGAAUGUGUGGUGUAGCGGUGAAAUGCAUAGAUAUCACACAGAACACCGAUUGCGAAGGCAUCUCACGAAUGCUCGAUUGACGCUGAUGCACGAAAGCGUGGGUAUCGAACAGGAUUAGAUACCCGGGUAGUC